rnacentral:rRNA from 1 species
UACGUAGGGUGCGAGCGUUGUCCGGAAUUAUUGGGCGUAAAGAGCUUGUAGGCGGUUUGUCGCGUCUGCUGUGAAAUCUCAAGGCUCAACCUUGAGCUUGCAGUGGGUACGGGCAGACUAGAGUGCGGUAGGGGGAGACUGGAAUUCCUGGUGUAGCGGUGGAAUGCGCAGAUAUCAGGAGGAACACCGAUGGCGAAGGCAGGUCUCUGGGCCGCAACUGACGCUGAGGAGCGAAAGCAUGGGGAGCGAACAGG